rnacentral:rRNA from 1 species
AUGAACGCUGGCGGCGUGCCUAAUACAUGCAAGUCGAGCGAACAGAUAAGGAGCUUGCUCCUUUGACGUUAGCGGCGGACGGGUGAGUAACACGUGGGUAACCUACCUAUAAGACUGGAAUAACUCCGGGAAACCGGGGCUAAUGCCGGAUAACAUUUAGAACCGCAUGGUUCUAAAGUGAAAGAUGGUUUUGCUAUCACUUAUAGAUGGACCCGCGCCGUAUUAGCUAGUUGGUAAGGUAACGGCUUACCAAGGCAACGAUACGUAGCCGACCUGAGAGGGUGAUCGGCCACACUGGAACUGAGACACGGUCCAGACUCCUACGGGAGGCAGCAGUAGGGAAUCUUCCGCAAUGGGCGAAAGCCUGACGGAGCAACGCCGCGUGAGUGAUGAAGGUCUUCGGAUCGUAAAACUCUGUUAUUAGGGAAGAACAAAUGUGUAAGUAACUGUGCACGUCUUGACGGUACCUAAUCAGAAAGCCACGGCUAACUACGU